UGGACAAUUACUGCUGAAGACCGAGCACCAUAUGCUCGCUGUAAUCGAUCGCUGCCUGAAAUGAAGGCCGACGGCGCAGCGCCGCUGCUGGUUCUUCUCCGUUGGCCACUAAACUGAAGAAGAGAAGGAAGAAGAACCUGUUUGAGGUGGCACAGUAUCUGCCCAAUUGGGGACUUGGGUACCACAGGGCUAAGAGCCACUGGUUCUGCGUCUCAUAUCAGAUCACCAAAAUCAAUCUUUGCAAGGUUUGUUUAUUGCUGGGUUUUGAGAAAUGAUAGGGAUCUGAGAUUGGUUUGAAUCUUCUAGUUUUGAAUAUGAUUGCUUGUCUGUAAUGUGGGAGUGGAGUUUGCUUUGCGUUUUCUUGAUUGUUUAAGGGCUUAGGGUUUGUUCUGGUUUUUUAAUUUUGACGGGAGUCCUUCAUAAGGAAGGUGGAUUUUACAUUUCAUGGAAUUGGCCUUUUUCUGCACUCGAUUUAGUUUUAUUUGUAUCAGUAGUACUUAGCUUUGUUACAUUAUUAGAUAGGAUUGGUUUCGAUACUUAUCUCGUAUAAGAGUUUCUAGGGUGAAGAAGUGACUCGAGGGAAUUAUAAUUAUCUAUUAGUUGGUUGGUUUUGCUAGUCGAAGUACCAGGGUUUACUCAAUUAGGCUUACUCUUACUACUCUGAUCAAUGUUUGUUUUAUGAUGGGUUGUUCAUUUCAUACUGAAAGUGUUCCAAGAUGACUAAACCAACUGAAACUGCUCCAGCAAAUUGGUUCUCUUGAUUGAAAAGAAGCUGGAAACAAAGAAAAUGGACGAGAUGCUGCUUAUAUCUUUUAUUACAUGAUCAUUUUUGUUGAAUAUAACUGGAGCAUAGCACUACUAAAAGUUGAGAUGCUGCAUUGCUUGUUUCAAAGGUUUUCUGCCAAAGACGAUUAACUGGUCUCUUAUGAUGUCAUUGUUCAUAUGCCUUUCAAUUUAGGAAGAACAAGUUCUCAAGUUAACUUUGCCAAGACUGCAAAUAUGAUGGCUCUUUGGGCAGAGGAACAAUGCUUCAAGUCGAAGGAGAAGCUGAAAAUUAGUUGUUUAGGACAUGUAACUUUCAUCAACUUCUUAUAACAGUUGGCAAACUUUUGGGCUACAAUGUAUUUCUGCAAAGUCAAGACCCUAAGACACCAUCCUCGUCGUGAUGAGGAUGGUAAUAAUUGAUGAAAAUGAAGCAAGGGAAGGAUAGAAAUGAUUAGAAUGUGUAUUAGGAGUUUCACAUUUUGGAUGUAAAUUAAUGUUCGGAACUUGGAACAUAUUUUUGUUUAUCUAUAAAUACUCUCAGUUUGUACUUUGA